AAAAUGGGACGAAGAGAGAGUAGUACUCUAUUCUCUUUUUCCUUGUGGGAGUUCCUUUGCUCACUUUUAGCCAACCGUAAAGACAAUUCCCUCGUUUUGUUUAAUUUUUCACCUUUUUAAUGCUUUGAAAAAGAGUGGGUCGGGCAGCGUGCCCUAGGUGUUUGGUUGUCUUGCUUUGAUAGAGCAUUUGUCAUUUGUAAAUUGCACAUGAAAAAAUGAUUACUUUAAAGGGCUUUUUCCUCCCCAAGAAUUUCUAGAAAGUUUUGUAAUUAUAAUGGCCUAAGUUAAGAAUCAAAUUUGAUUUCUUUGAGAGCUAUAAUUGUCUCAUUAGGGAUCUCAUUGUAACUUCUUCAAGUUCAGGUAUUAUCGCAAGCGUUUCUCUUUUUUGGUUUCUCCAUAAAGAAUAGUACUGUAGUUAUAAGUGAAUUACUAAGCCUUUUUCAAUAGUCGAUCCAGCUUUGUUGAUGCAUUUACAAUUCAUUUAUCUGUGCAUAUGUUCGAGUAGGUGCUCUUCAUUCUAUGCAGGAUGUCAUAUUAUUUUACAUAGUAUACGCAGAGACAAAUUCAGGAUUUGAAGUCUGUGGGUACACCAGUGUUGUAAAGACGCGCAUAAGCCUCGAAGUAAGACUCAAAAUGUGUUGAGCGCUCGUCUCGCUUGAUGUGCAGCUUAGGUUCUAAUUUUUUAUACAUAUUUUUUCUUGUCAAUGAGGUUUUCUGAGG
rnacentral:lncRNA from 1 species